GGUCAAAGCGCCCGUCUAUCUCUGCUCACGGCAGUUACGCCUCCCGUACAAAUACACCAUUAGCGGGAAUUUGGAGUCAUUCGCGCUUUCUCUACUGGGUCUGGACGGAGUUCGUGUUCUGCCGCACAGAGGAGAAGAUUACGUUGUAGCUGGACAGCUGCUGUUUUCUCGGGAGACGAUUAACAUCACACUUUGCCAGCAUGCAUGUGAUCAAGCGAGAUGGACGCCAAGAGCGCGUCAUGUUUGAUAAAAUCACCUCUCGCAUCCAGAAGCUGUGCUACGGACUAAACACUGACUUUGUGGAUCCGGCCCAGAUUACGAUGAAGGUGAUCCAGGGUUUGUACAACGGGGUCACCACUGUGGAGCUCGACACGCUGGCAGCCGAGAUUGCCGCCACUCUCACAACUAAACACCCCGACUAUGCCAUCCUCGCUGCACGUAUCGCCGUCUCAAACCUGCACAAAGAGACAAAGAAGGUGUUCAGCGACGUGAUGGAGGACCUGUACAACUACGUUAAUCCCUUAAAUAAACGCCACUCUCCCAUGGUCUCAAAGGAAACGCUCAACAUCGUUCUGGAGAACAAAGACCGCCUCAACUCGGCCAUCAUUUUCGACAGAGAUUUCUCCUACAAUUUCUUCGGCUUCAAGACUCUGGAGCGGUCCUACCUGUUGAAGAUCAACGGCAAAGUGGCCGAGCGACCGCAGCACAUGCUCAUGAGAGUGUCCGUUGGGAUCCACGAGACGGACAUCGACGCAGCCAUCGAGACCUACAACCUGCUAUCAGAGAAGUGGUUCACCCACGCCUCCCCAACGCUCUUCAACGCGGGAACCAACAGGCCGCAGCUGUCCAGCUGCUUCCUGCUCGCCAUGAAAGACGACAGCAUCGAAGGCAUUUACGACACUCUGAAGCAAUGCGCCCUCAUCUCCAAAUCGGCUGGCGGGAUCGGCGUGGCGGUCAGCUGCAUCAGAUCAACAGGGAGCUACAUCGCCGGCACCAACGGCAACUCCAACGGGCUGGUCCCCAUGCUGCGAGUUUACAACAACACGGCGCGUUAUGUCGACCAGGGCGGCAACAAGAGACCGGGGGCCUUCGCCAUGUACCUGGAGCCCUGGCACUUUGACGUGUUUGACUUCCUGGAGCUGAAGAAGAACACCGGAAAGGAGGAGCAGAGAGCCAGAGACCUUUUCUACGCCAUGUGGAUCCCCGACCUGUUCAUGAAGAGAGUGGAGAGCAACCAAGACUGGUCUCUGAUGUGUCCCAACGAGUGCCCCGGGCUCGACGAGUGCUGGGGGGAGGAGUUUGAAAAGCUCUACACCUCCUAUGAGAAGGAGGGGCGGGUCAAGCGUGUGGUGAAGGCGCAGCAGGUGUGGCACGCCAUCAUUGAGUCCCAGACAGAAACGGGUACGCCGUACAUGCUGUACAAAGACGCCUGCAACAGGAAGAGCAACCAACAGAAUCUGGGCACCAUCAAGUCCAGCAACCUCUGCACAGAAAUCGUUGAAUACACCAGUCACGAUGAGGUAGCAGUCUGCAACCUGGCCUCCGUCGCGCUCAAUAUGUACGUCACUCCUGAGCAGACUUUUGACUUUAAAAAGCUAGCGUCUGUGACCAAAGUAAUCGUCAGAAACUUGAACAAGAUCAUAGAGAUUAACUACUAUCCGGUGCCCGAAGCGGAGAAGUCCAACAAGCGCCACAGGCCAAUAGGAAUCGGCGUCCAAGGUUUGGCGGAUGCCUUCAUCCUCAUGCGUUACCCGUUUGAAAGCCCCGAGGCUCAGCUGCUGAACAUUCAGAUCUUUGAGACCAUCUACUACGCCGCCCUGGAGGCCAGCUGCGAGCUGGCCGCUGAGCUUGGCCCCUAUGAGACGUACGAAGGCUGUCCUGUCAGCAAGGGGAUCCUGCAGUACGACAUGUGGGACAAGACGCCCACCGACCUGUGGGACUGGAAGCUGCUGAAGGAGAAGAUCGCCAAGCACGGUGUGAGGAACAGCCUGCUGCUGGCGCCCAUGCCCACAGCGUCCACUGCCCAGAUCCUGGGCAACAACGAGUCCAUAGAGGCCUACACCAGCAACAUCUACACCCGCAGGGUCCUCUCUGGAGAGUUUCAGAUCGUUAAUCCUCAUCUGCUCAAAGACCUGACGGAGAGAGGACUGUGGAGUGAGGAGAUGAAGAACCAGCUGAUCGGUCACAACGGGUCCAUUCAGGACAUUGACGAGAUUCCAGAUGAUCUGAAGCAGCUGUAUAAAACAGUUUGGGAAAUCUCCCAGAAGACUGUACUGAAGAUGGCCGCCGACCGCGGUGCCUUCAUCGACCAGAGCCAGUCCCUGAACAUCCACAUCGCAGAGCCCAACUACGGCAAACUGACCAGCAUGCACUUCUACGGCUGGAAACAAGGUCUAAAGACAGGGAUGUACUACCUCAGGACCAAGCCUGCUGCUAACCCCAUCCAGUUCACCCUGAACAAGGAGAAGCUGAAGGAGGCGCAGGAGCCGGUCAAGGCCACAGAGGAGGAGAUCAAAGAGCGCAACAUGGCUGCCAUGGUGUGUUCUCUGGAGAACCGAGACGAUUGCCUCAUGUGUGGCUCUUAAGACGCGUCGUCCCUCGGUUACCUGCUGAGGCUUCAGGUCGUCGUGUAAAUGACCCUGUUGUGACUUGAUUAUACAUAACUUAACAAUUUGUAUAAAAUUUAGUUUUAUCAAAUGUUCUGUCAACUCAAAUGUCAAAAAUAAGACCAUAAGUACUUAAUACAAUUUUUUUUUUUUUGUUAAUAAAAUAAAAUUAACUUUAAUAGAAAAUAAAAAAAAUGUGUAUAUAUAUGCAAGUUGUAUUCUUGUUUGAGCCGGGGAAAGAAACUGGUUAUCGGAUACGGAAGCCAGUGCUGUAGGGUUAAAACAAAUUUGUAUUAUCAAUGAAUCGUUCACAGAAAGAUGAGAUGAUUUAUCUAUUAAACAAACUAAAACUGAAAUGUCGCACACGCCUAAAGAGAUCUAAUCAAACAUUUUGUCAGACCAACAGUCCCAAAACCUUUUACUAUAAUGUAAUACCAAGGGGGAGAUGUAAAUAUGUAGCCUUUGUACAUGUAGACUAAUGAGAAUGGUAUCUUAAAUAUUUUUCCUAUAAAAUAGUUGCAUGUU